UGCCUCGUUCUGCACAGGCUCAGGUGUGUACUGGUCUCAUCACAUAAAAUAUUCUGCAGGUUUAAUAGUUUUCCACACAGCUGACCUCUGUGUCCCUUUGCAGAAAUCAGGACUAAAUACUGCACUCUUCAUCGGAGAUGAUCGAGCUGGCAGUGCUGACAGAAGCUCGCUGUUCCAGCAUUUUUCUGCUCAAGAACGAGUCCUCCAAAGUCAAUCAGCAAUCAGCUAUCUUCCCUCAGAUAGUCGACUAUGAGGGAAAAACUGUGUCCAUGAUCCUAAAGGACUGCUGCUCAAUCUGAUGGUGGGAAACUG